rnacentral:rRNA from 1 species
UACGUAGGCAGCGAGCGUUGUUCGGAGUUACUGGGCGUAAAGAGUGCGUAGGCGGUGCUCCAAGUCUGGUGUGAAAUCUCCCGGCUUAACCGGGAGGGUGCGCCGGAAACUGGGGUGCUGGAGUGUGGGAGAGGUAAGCGGAAUUCCCGGUGUAGCGGUGAAAUGCGUAGAGAUGUGGAGGAACACCAGUGGCGAAGGCGGCUUUCUGGUCUGUAACUGACGCUGAGGCGCGAAAGCGUGGGGAGCAAACAGG